rnacentral:lncRNA from 1 species
AUGUUCAUAAUGUACAUGUCCAUGUUACAGCCUGUCAUGAGCCAUGAGCCUUACAAUAGCCUGUUAAGCCUGUUAAGUGCACACUCGGUGGAUAUACUAGUUUGGUCUAGCUACCGGAAGACGCCGAUGUCAACAAACAGUAAGGGAAGCUCAAAGCAGCGGCCUCCUUUUCCACUCCAGCAGACCCUAUCGCUGCUACAACCGAGGGGCCAGGACCCGGCAGUGAGGCGGCAGCUGAGGCCAGGGCAGAAGGGGAAUAAGGAGAGGGAAGAGGCGAGCAUCCAGAGGUGAACGCAGCAGCAGCAGAAGCAGAAGCAGCCGCGGGAGGACGGAGAUGGAUGAACGGUACUCCACAGGAUCAAUCAGGCACUCGUAGCCACGGCAGGUCAUCUUUCUCCAGCAGCACGUUAGUUAACACCCCCCCUCCCCCAGCCCCCAGCCCACCCCACCCCACCCACAAACCACAUUGACCCCCAGUCUAUACGGCACCUUUUUUUUCGCCAUAUAUAUUGAGAGAGAGGCAAGCUGAAAGAAGAGCGAGGGAGGAAACACGAGAAGUAAAGUGAGGUGGUGAGGAAGCUGCAGAGAGAGAGAGAGAGAGAGAGAGAGAGAGAGAGAGAGAGAGAGAGGUUGGGGGUGGUGGGUGGAUGUAUUGAUUGUUUUCACUGUGGUGUAAUUGCAAUUAAAGGUUGCAAACAGGCCAGUGGAUCAGUUUCGCGGCUGUCACCCAGCAGGACGCAUGGCAGCGUUGAUGCAUCCCUACACAUUUCCUCAGCCAGCAGGGAGAAGCGCUAACACACUGUCAGUCCCCGCAGACCGUGUGUAGAUUACUGCCAUGUCGUGCAGUAAUGUAGCGCUGGGACUUUGUACUCAUACAGUAAAAAGGAAAGCAUUUUACCGGAAAAUAAUACCACAGCCACAAACUAGAUGAAAGGAGAGACGGCAGUUUGUUGACUGGAGAUGGAAUGAAAAGUCCAAAUGCUCUUAUGGCCACUUUUGUCCUUGUCAUCCUUUGCUGUUAUAGAAAGGUUUGAAGGCUGUGUUACUCAACCGCAC